GGCCAGUUGGAGAAGCGGCUUAACUCAUCAGCCUUUCACGCUGACAUUCACGGGUUCGAAUCCCGUACUGGUCA
rnacentral:tRNA from 1 species